UACGAAGGGGGCUAGCGUUGCUCGGAAUCACUGGGCAUAAAGGGCGCGUAGGCGGCUUUCUAAGUCAGGGGUGAAAUCCGGCAGCUCAACUGUCGCAGUGCCUUUGAUACUGGAGAGCUCGAGGGAGGUAGGGGUCUGUGGAACUUCCGGUGGAGCGGUGAAAUGCGUUGAUAUCGGAAGGAACGCCGGUGGCGAAAGCGACGGACUGGAUCUCUUCUGACGCUGAGGCGCGAAAGCCAGGGGAGCAAACGGG
rnacentral:rRNA from 1 species